ACUGCCGUUGUGGGUAACGCGGACGUGGAAGAACCUCGUCUGCGGAGGAAAAGGUAGAUGUUAAAUGGUAACUACGCGCGAGGUUCUGAGGAGCCCUGGGAACAGGAAGGAGAAAAGAAUACCAAAAAGUGACUACUGGACUUUGUGUGAAAACACCAACCGGGACAAAACUUCAGUCAAGGCUGAGACGGAACUCCUGUAGCCUGUAAUACCAGCUGUGGGUACUACUCUCAGUGUUGGAGAUCAUCAAAAUACAAUUGGACCAGACCCUUUGGAAAUAAUUCUGUGUCUCAAAUGCCCUGUGGAGCACACACUUAAUCAGUUGAUGGCUAUGGAAUUUUCCAACAUCAGCUAAAGAGAAGGGUGAGUGUGGGGUGUGUACGUAUUUGUGUCAAAGCACAAAGUUGAUGGUCUCUCCUUGGAUGGGAAUUGUGGGAUGCGAAGUCAUCUCCUAGAUUGUUCAUGAGGUGUCAUCUGUUGAUGGACACUUAGGUUGUUUCCAUCUUUUGGCUCUUAUGAAUAUUGCUGCAGUGAACAUUGGAGUACAAGUAUCUGUUUGAGUCCCUGAUUUAAAUUCUUUUGGGUAUAUACCUAGACGUGGA
rnacentral:lncRNA from 10 species